rnacentral:rRNA from 1 species
GACGUAGGGGGCGAGCGUUGUCCGGAUUUAUUGGGCGUAAAGCGUGCGUAGGCGGCUGCGCAAGUCGGUUGUGAAACCCCGGGGCUCAACCCCGGAACUGCAUCCGAUACUGCGUGGCUAGAGGUAGGUAGGGGAGAUCGGAAUUCCUGGUGUAGCGGUGAAAUGCGCAGAUAUCAGGAGGAACACCGGUGGCGAAGGCGGCUCGCUGGGCCGGUCCUGACACUGAGGCGCGAAGGCGUGGGGAGCGAACGGG